CAUAAUGUGUGUUUAUGCGUGUGUGUUUGUGUGUGCGUGUGUAAUUGUGUGUGUGUGUGUGUGUGUGCAGAUAAUUAGACAGACAGUUAUGUCCUGUUCCUGACAAUAUAUUCAUAAUGAGGCAUUGCAAUGCAAACUAAUAUAAGACUCGUUAUCACAAGUAACACAAC